rnacentral:rRNA from 1 species
GACGAACCGUGCGAACGUUGUUCGGAUUCACUGGGCUUAAAGGGCGCGUAGGCGGGCCGUCAAGUCUGUGGUGAAAGCCCCCGGCUUAACCGGGGAAGUGCCGCGGAUACUGGCGGUCUCGAGGGGUGCAGGGGCAUGUGGAACUUCCGGUGGAGCGGUGAAAUGCGUAGAUAUCGGAAGGAACGCCGGUGGCGAAAGCGACGUGCUGGACACCUACUGACGCUGAGGCGCGAAAGCCAGGGGAGCAAACGGG